rnacentral:rRNA from 1 species
UACGUAGGGUGCAAGCGUUGUCCGGAAUUAUUGGGCGUAAAGAGCUCGUAGGCGGUCUGUCGCGUCUGCUGUGAAAACCUAGGGCUUAACUCUGGGCGUGCAGUGGGUACGGGCAGGCUAGAGUGCGGUAGGGGAGACUGGAAUUCCUGGUGUAGCGGUGAAAUGCGCAGAUAUCAGGAGGAACACCGAUUGCGAAGGCAGCUCGCUGGGACGUAACUGACGCUGAGACGCGAAAGCGUGGGGAGCAAACAGG